AAUCGUUGAUAUUUGCAAUAGACCCCCGCAAUUAUCGAUCCCAUGACGCUGAACUCGGUGACUCCUUUCGUCUGGUGCCGCCUCGCCGUCGUCGCUCCUCCCCUGCUCUCAGCGCCUUCCUCACCAUCGCUGAUCAGCGUCUGCUCCGUCUCCAACGCCCUCAGGUGAAGGCGACUGGUUGGACAUUUCUCUAUAGCACAGGCAAGUUUGCUGAAAUCCAUCAUCGAUCAAACUGGGACUUGGGCCAGCCUCUUGAAGGCCCUUAUGGUCUAGAUCGAUUCCGCGAAAGCCGUCUUGUUUGAAUGGGCUGGUUCGAUUUGGAAGGAUCCAAAUUAGAUGUGCCAACGAACGAGAUGACGGAUCGUCGGGGUGUUGCUAGGAACUCGCAGCACAUCGCCUCCAAGCUGUUCGACGCUAUUCCUCUGAAGGAACAACGCCUUGAUAUUCGCGCUUGCACUAUUCGGGCUGGGAAGCUUCACAAAGCGGGUUGCACCGUACGGUAAGGCCAGGAAACCCGUGGCCGCUGACUCUUAGUUUGUACUGAUACAACAAUAUGCUCUUCGGAAGACCCUAUCGGCACAUGUAUGUGGAAGGUUGGCCAAUCCAAUAUUCCCCACUAGUAUAAGAUGGCAAAAGUGGGGGUAGGGAGGAUAUAUAAAAAGAGCCCAACGAAUGAAGUGCCUUUCCUCUUUUCUUCUGGUGGCCGUCCACGAAUAAUGCGCUUGGUGACUCCACAGGUUCCAAAGGUGAUUGAAUGGGGAAGGAAAGAUGAGAUGGGAAAUGGGUGUUGUAUAUCUAAAGUUAGUUCGUGCAUUAUUUAUAUGUUAUCUGUUUGACCAUCCAAUUCACGAUGCUGCCAAGCCUACUUUUCUCGAGGCCUUCUUCUCACAUGUGAGCAGUUCCGAUCCCUUCUGAAAUUGAUGGGAUUGCUCAGCAGCAGUAGCCAACAAUACUAUUACGGCACGGUUCUACAUGGCCUGUCGACCUCAAGCUAGUCCGGAUGAGCACGGAGGCCGCAUGCAAUGGGUGAUACCACAACCUUUUCGCCUUUGGGCCACAAGACUUUUGUGCACUACGUGGACCUGACUGAUCGCAGCAUCGAGAUUGUUAGUUGUUAACUUCGCAUUUAAUCUGAGGAUUGGAACACCUCGACGUGAACUCUGCUCAUUCAAGAUGAUGCAAUGGAUAAGGUAUGGACAUGACCAGAGCUUCAUACUGCUAUAUAAUAUGAUUGUUCGUUUGUUUCGUAGGCAAUGGCACAAACACUCUUUCUUAAUGGGAUUACUUGGGACUGCCGUGCACCUCGGUCGGGCGAGAAAGAGAAGAAUGUAUCAGUUACAUGAUUGGCCAAGCAUCUUUUUCUCCAUUGCCCCACCAUCUUCACAUUAUUAGUGUAUACUGUUCUCGUGGCCCUUUGUUAAGUCAAAGGUGGUGGGAAGAGAUGAGUUCCGUCGUCGAGGUUCAGAAGAUGGAGGAAUGAUGAUGGCACAGAGUAACAGUAAUAUUAAAGCAGGUUGGAGUUGUCCUCAUCCUCUACUGUGAUGGUGAUGGUGAUGGUGAUGGUUCGGAAAGAACACAUCGACCCUGUAUGCGCUGCAACAACACAACUAUUUGCUCUAUCCAUCUCCAUCGAACAGAAGCUGCCACAGUUCCUUCACUGGGGACCUCCGUAUUCCUUUACAAUGCACCUCCCUAUAUUGCUCGGCGAAACAUGUUGGUGCUGCUAUUUCCAAGUUCCACACCAAACAUGAGAACACAAGUGUCGGUCCGCAACCUUGUGGGGCUGAAGUUGACUUUGACCCCUACAUUUUUCUGACUUUGACUUGAGACCUUGGCGUCAAAGUGCUCAACCCGCUCCCCACCCCCCGCCCCUCUUCUCGUGCGAAGCCAAGACGAAGCAUCAAGUGUACGUGCAGUUUGGCACGGGUCACUAUGGCACAUUAAAUGGAGACCUCGGCAGCGAUCUAAAGAGUGAGGAUUGAGACCGACCUCAGCCUCUUUGUUUUAUCUACCACUGUUGAAUAGAACUCUAACGACAACAUGGAUUCCAAUAUGGAAAAAUGGCAUUGCAAGAACCAUGCAAUUGUCGAGGAAGAAAAGUAUUAGCUUGGCAUUUGUGAA